UGAACGAUCGACCACAUUGAUCCUGGCGUUUAAGUGAAGCGGAGUGAAUUUAUUUAAUUAAUUUAUUACUACCUAAAAGUUAUUUUUUUUACCAUCCCACUUCCGUGGCGAUAAUUAAAUAUUCUAUGUAGUGCGGUUUCUAACCCCCAAAAUUGAAUUAAUGCACUAAAUUCUUUGAAGCAGAUAAAUACAUGCUAUCAAACAUUAGUGAACGGGGUUUUACUUCCGCCAACAA